UAUUGGGGGGGCGUGCUUUACACAUGCAAGUCGAACGGUGAAGCAGAGCUUGCUCUGUGGAUCAGUGGCGAACGGGUGAGUAACACGUGAGCAAUCUGCCCCUGACUCUGGGAUAAGCGCUGGAAACGGCGUCUAAUACCGGAUACGAGCUGCGAAGGCAUCUUCAGCAGUUGGAAAGAAUUUCGGUCAGGGAUGAGCUCGCGGCCUAUCAGCUUGUUGGUGAGGUAAUGGCUCACCAAGGCGUCGACGGGUAGCCGGCCUGAGAGGGUGACCGGCCACACUGGGACUGAGACACGGCCCAGACUCCUACGGGAGGCAGCAGUGGGGAAUAUUGCACAAUGGGCGGAAGCCUGAUGCAGCAACGCCGCGUGAGGGAUGACGGCCUUCGGGUUGUAAACCUCUUUUAGCAGGGAAGAAGCGAAAGUGACGGUACCUGCAGAAAAAGCGCCGGCUAACUACGUGCCAGCAGCCGCGGUAAUACGUAGGGCGCAAGCGUUAUCCGGAAUUAUUGGGCGUAAAGAGCUCGUAGGCGGUCUGUCGCGUCUGCUGUGAAAUCCCGAGGCUCAACCUCGGGUCUGCAGUGGGUACGGGCAGACUAGAGUGCGGUAGGGGAGAUUGGAAUUCCUGGUGUAGCGGUGGAAUGCGCAGAUAUCAGGAGGAACACCGAUGGCGAAGGCAGAUCUCUGGGCCGUAACUGACGCUGAGGAGCGAAAGGGUGGGGAGCAAACAGGCUUAGAUACCCUGGUAGUCCACCCCGUAAACGUUGGGAACUAGUUGUGGGGUCCAUUCCACGGAUUCCGUGACGCAGCUAACGCAUUAAGUUCCCCGCCUGGGGAGUACGGCCGCAAGGCUAAAACUCAAAGGAAUUGACGGGGACCCGCACAAGCGGCGGAGCAUGCGGAUUAAUUCGAUGCAACGCGAAGAACCUUACCAAGGCUUGACAUAUACGA
rnacentral:rRNA from 1 species